UCUACGUAUGAACAGUACACGUGUUUUCAAAGUCCUGUGAGCAUUUGUCAUGCUCCAGAGGCAUAAAUGGUGUUACAUGCAGAAAGCAACACAGUAUCCUGGAAAAGAAUAGAAGGAACGCAAGAAAUCAAAUGACGUGCGCACAAAUACUUUUGGAGACGACAGACAAGCAAUGAGCUUUCUCCACUAUGCACUUUUGGCAAGCUUUUUCGUCCACGCAGCAUUUGUCCAAGGGCGAGGAAAAGGAGGUUGCUCUUUGAGACCAAAAGCAGGCAAUUGUACAAGUAAUCCUUGGUGGAACUUUAACCCCGACACAAAGACAUGUGAACUUAUCACGGAAGGAUGUCCCAGGAAGCGUAACUAUUACCGCUCAUGCAAGAGAUGCGCCGAAGUGUGUAUCGAUCACAUGGAAGACACACGGAAGAAGAAUCCCUGUCCUGGAAUGUUUAAAAGAAUAAUAAAAAAGCUGAAAAAUAAACUGGAAAAACUAU